AGGCGUAUUAUACUCUUCCAAAAUGUCCGUGAGAUAUCAGACAUAAGGGGAAACCACCCUGCACCACCCACGCUCUUGGUAGAUAAAGCAAGGUUAAACAUGACAAGAAAUAUGGAGCAUUCAGUCAGCCACAUACCAUGUCUGCCAGCAGAGGACCUCAGGACAAAGCGCUGGAGGAAGUAGUAACGGUUGACAUAUUGAGACAGCCCCAGGGAGCCUAAAAACUGCAGUCAUAGUUUUGUACCAGCAAUGAAGAAACCAGACUUCAAAAGGGAAGAUCACUUUAAGCAGCCAGGAAAUGCUGUAAUGAGAUGCGUUCAUGCGCCAUUAAACAGGACCAGUUCAGGGAGACGCAAUUCACACAGCUUAAUCCCUUUGGUCCUGGGGGACGUGCAGCACCAAAGGGGUUAAACAUCAGUUCGUAGACAUCUGUCAAACAUGACAACAACACUCGCUAAUGGAGCAAGGCGGCUUUGAUCAUAUCUGUGGGUGAUUUCAGUCCAAUAAACUCUGCGCGCCAUUCAUUUCACUGAGCGUAAUCGUUUUACCUGGACAUAUAUCCAAUAUACCGGUAAACCAGGAAAGCAAACUCCAAUCACAUGCCAAUAUUAGCCAAACUGUUCAAAUUCGUAACAUGGUGCACCGGCUCUGUGCGCCAAUUGAUUUUUUUUUCAGCCUUUUUAAUCAUCUUCGCAUGUGCAGAGCAUUGUGCUCAGGAUACUGGAUUGGACAAGUGGAUGGCAUGUCAAGUCCACAACCGUGAUGUAAGAUAUGUGUUAAGGAGGCAGCGCUGAGCUGCUGAAGUGCCACAACCUGGCACACAUCCUCACUUUACCUCAACUUUCAGCCCCUUCUUGUUGAUGUAUAGGGCUUUAUACAUCAAACAAGCCACCAAAGACAAUAUGGAAUCAACAGUCUCCGAUUCUUGUGCUGCCUGAAAGUCUUUGGGGAAGCAAAGGAGAGAUACAAGUCUUGGCUUCCAGCAGAUUAUGUAACGGUGGCUUCUGAGGAUGAACGUGCUAAGUCUGCAGCGGGGAGAAUAGGAUCAGACUCUGCAGAACUGCUGAGGGAGAUGGCAGCCACUGAUCUGUGCAAGUGACUCUGAUUAUCAAGCAAGGCGCAUGCAGGAGUGUCUCUGCACAGACUUACUGGAACAAUCAUGCAGCUAUUAGAUGGCCAUGUGGAGCUAAACUAUGGCAUCUACUAUGGCGAUGCUUUAUUCCUCAGUAUCGACUGAAUACCAUCCAGCUUACCAGUUUGCUGAGUGGCCUGGUGCUGUAAAGAAAUGUGUACGUGUUUUGAUACUAGUGUAAAUUAAGUAGACAAAAUUCCUUGCUCUGGCAUAAGUAUGCAAAACCUAGCUCCAUGGAAUCCUCAGACCACUUUAAAGGGGCAUCCCAGAGAAAAAAAUGUUUUUAAAUCAACUGGUGCCAGAAAAUUAAACAGAUUUGUAAAUUACUUCUAUUAAAAAUUCUUAAUCCUUCCAGUACAUAUCAGCUGCUGUAUGCUCCAGAGAAAGUUGUAUAGUUUGUAUAGAAAGUUGUACAGUCUGACCACGGUGCUCUCUGCUGACACCUCUGUCCAUGUCAGCAACUGUGCAGAGCAAGAGAGGUUUGCUGUGGGGAUUUGCUCCCACU